rnacentral:rRNA from 1 species
CCCCUAGAUGUUCUGGGCCGCACGCGCGCUACACUGAACAGUUCAACAAGUCUUAACCUUGGCCGAUAGGUCUGGGUAAUCUUUGAACGCUGUUCGUGAUUGGGAUAGACCUUUGCAAUUAUGGGUCUUCAACGAGGAAUGCCUAGUAAGCGCAAGUCAUCAGCUUGCGUUGAUUACGUCCCUGCCCUUUGUACACACCGCCCGUCGCUCCUACCGAUUGAAUGGUCCGGUGAAGCGUUCGGACCGUGGCCUUUGGACGGUUCGCCGUCUGUUGGCUGCGGGAAGUUCGUUAAACCUUNUNAUUUAUNGGAAGGAGAANUCGUANCA